ensembl:lncRNA EP300-AS1 EP300 antisense RNA 1
GUCGCCCCCAGCGCGUGCCCGCCCGGCGCCCUCUAGGGUGGAAGGCUGCGGGCGUCCUACCAGUGCCAGGACUGCCAGAGCGGGAGGAGCGCGGCGCGGGCCAGCCGGGACUGCUGGACAGCGGGGUCCAGGCUAGAGGCGAGCGAGCGGUCAGUGACGGCUGUGGAGGAGGGAGGCGCUGGGCGUCAGCGCGGGACCCGAGCCUCUGGACCACUGAGCUGGGGGGCUGGCUGAGGUCCACCUCCUAACAAAUUAUUGGAAGGAAUAUGAGAAAAGUAAGUAGGGAUUUUGAAGUAUCAGUUAAAAGACCCAAAAUUGUU